rnacentral:misc_RNA from 1 species
GAUGAAGAACGUAGCGAAAUGCGAUACGUAUGUGAAUUGCAGAAUUCAGUGAAUCAUCGAAUCUUUGAACGCAUAUUGCGCUCUCUGGUAUUCCGGAGAGCAUGCUUGUUUGAGUAUCAGUAAACACCUCAACUUCCAUAUCUUUUUUGAAAUGGGAGUUGGACUUGAGUGAUCCCAACGCUUUUCCUCACCGAAAAGUGGCGGGUUACUUGAAAUGCAGGUGCAGCUGGACUUUUCUCUGAGCUAUAAGCAUAUCUAUUUAGUCUGCCUAAAAAACAGAUUAUUGCCUUUGCUGCAGCUAACAUAAAGGAGAUUAGUUCUUGUGCUGACUGAUGCAGGAUUCACAAAGACAGGCUUCGGCCGACUUUGUAAACUCGAUCUCAAAUCAAGUAAGACUACCCGCUGAACUUAAGCAUAUCAAUAAGCGGAGGA